CAUACUGCGGUGAAUACGUUCCCGGGUCUUGUACACACCGCCCGUCACACCAUGGGAGCCGGAAAUGCCCGAAGCCAGUGACCCAACCUUAGGGAGGGAGCUGUCGAAGGUGGAGCCGGUAACUGGGGUGAAGUCGUAACAAGGUAAC
rnacentral:rRNA from 1 species